rnacentral:rRNA from 1 species
AGUCGAGCGAGCUUGCCUAGAUGAUUUUAGUGCUUGCACUAAAUGAAACUAGAUACAAGCGAGCGGCGGACGGGUGAGUAACACGUGGGUAACCUGCCCAAGAGACUGGGAUAACACCUGGAAACAGAUGCUAAUACCGGAUAACAACACUAGACGCAUGUCUAGAGUUUGAAAGAUGGUUCUGCUAUCACUCUUGGAUGGACCUGCGGUGCAUUAGCUAGUUGGUAAGGUAACGGCUUACCAAGGCAAUGAUGCAUAGCCGAGUUGAGAGACUGAUCGGCCACAUUGGGACUGAGACACGGCCCAAACUCCUACGGGAGGCAGCAGUAGGGAAUCUUCCACAAUGGACGAAAGUCUGAUGGAGCAACGCCGCGUGAGUGAAGAAGGGUUUCGGCUCGUAAAGCUCUGUUGGUAGUGAAGAAAGAUAGAGGUAGUAACUGGCCUUUAUUUGACGGUAAUUACUUAGAAAGUCACGGCUAACUACGUGCCAGCAGCCGCGGUAAUACGUAGGUGGCAAGCGUUGUCCGGAUUUAUUGGGCGUAAAGCGAGUGCAGGCGGUUCAAUAAGUCUGAUGUGAAAGCCUUCGGCUCAACCGGAGAAUUGCAUCAGAAACUGUUGAACUUGAGUGCAGAAGAGGAGAGUGGAACUCCAUGUGUAGCGGUGGAAUGCGUAGAUAUAUGGAAGAACACCAGUGGCGAAGGCGGCUCUCUGGUCUGCAACUGACGCUGAGGCUCGAAAGCAUGGGUAGCGAACAGGAUUAGAUACCCUGGUAGUCCAUGCCGUAAACGAUGAGUGCUAAGUGUUGGGAGGUUUCCGCCUCUCAGUGCUGCAGCUAACGC